GAUGAAGAACGUAGCGAAAUGCGAUACGUAAUGUGAAUUGCAGAAUUCAGUGAAUCAUCGAAUCUUUGAACGCAUAUUGCGCUCUCUGGUAUUCCGGAGAGCAUGCUUGUUUGAGUAUCAGUAAACACCUCAACUUCCAUAUCUUUUUUGAAAUGGGAGUUGGACUUGAGUGAUCCCAACGCUUUUCCUCACCGAAAAGUGGCGGGUUACUUGAAAUGCAGGUGCAGCUGGACUUUUCUCUGAGCUAUAAGCAUAUCUAUUUAGUCUGCCUAAAAAACAGAUUAUUACCUUUGCUGCAGCUAACAUAAAGGAGAUUAGUUCUUGUGCUGACUGAUGCAGGAUUCACAAAGACAGGCUUCGGCCGACUUUGUAAACUCGAUCUCAAAUCAAGUAAGACUACCCGCUGAACUUAAGCAUAUCAAUAAGCGGAGGAA
rnacentral:misc_RNA from 1 species